CUAAUUAAGCUACCCAAGCCCGAACCCAAUUUUAUGAAAAUGACUUAAAUCUGAAAUUCUCAAUUUUAAACCUAAUUUAAUUUCAUAAACUUAAUUUAUUAAUUAAGUCUUGGGUUCAUAAACAAAACAUGUAAAAUAAAUCCUAAGAUUUCAGGAUCUAGGGUUUUGCAGAAAAGUAAGUUUGAUUUCUGAUUAAGGAUGAACGCGCAGCACCUGUACAUGCCAUAAGAACACCCCAU
rnacentral:lncRNA from 1 species